AUGAUGUUUCACAACCUCUUCUGCAGAUUUUCAGAAUACCGAGGGAAAUAUUGCGUUGGAAGGAUCCCGGGUUGGCGGGGGCGGCCAGACCAGGUGGCAAAUGCGAUGCACAAGUUGAGGAGCGAAGGUAAAGAGGAGAGGCCACGACAACCCGAGCAGCAGCGAGGGGAUGGAUCAGCGGCCGGGCAGCUGCGUCGACCCGAGCAGUUGCGAGAGCGAAUGAAGCUGCAGCUGCACGGACAAGCUUGUGGAGAUGUUAGUAUGCACGCAUGCGUCCAUGAUUUGGAGCACGCCUCUGGCCUGGUAGGAUUCUCGCUCUGCCCCGACCUCAAGGGCGUUCGUCUAUCUGUGUUGUGCUCGGGGCGAUGCACUAAUGCAGGUGUGGUUCUUCAGCUUUUCUUUGUCUUUUUCUUGGUAUGUAUAUCUCUGAAUCUUGUGAGCCGUGAUUUUCAUGCUGCCAUAUACUUCAAUUCAUUCGUAUAUGGACUUCCAUCGCACUACGAGGAUGAUCCAUGGCUGGUCGCGGACGAUCACCUGCGAGGACGAUUCAUGGCCGGUUGGGGAUGGUCAGUUCCAUCACACUGCGAGGAGAUGAUUCAUGGCCGGUCGGGGAUGGUCACCUACGGUGAGCACGAGUACCUCCUCCAUAUCCUCCCUAUACUAGCACCCUUGGCGAUGAAAAUGACAACCAGGAGAAUCCCUCCUUCACACCUCUUUUCCAUCUCUUAUGCUACCUUGGCCAAUAUACUGCAUCAUGUGAAUGUUUCUCGUUCCCAAAAGUGCACUAUAUCUGGCCUCUCUGGCCACGAAGGCUGCAAGGUUGCACCUUGGAGCUCAAAAUUUGGUGUCUUCGCAUUGAAGGAUCCAAUCCAUCGACUUUGGAGUUUGAACAUGUCACUUGUGAUGGGGAGAGGAAGAGAUGACUUGCAUACACUGGACAAUGAGUGUGUUAGCAGCGUGCGAGAGGGCGACGAUAAGGACGGUUGUCUUCGGGUGUCCCCCAACGUGGUUGACGGGUUGGCGGGUUCUGGAAAUCGGCCCCUUCGCCGGAACUCGAAGCGUGCUGCUGAUCGCCAGCCACGCUCUGCACGUAGUGAUCAGCAGGGAGAGGAAGUUGAGGGUGUUGACCAGUUUCGGGUUGUAAAGUGGACUAGAUGUGCAGCAGUUGCAGGGCGAGUUGAAUCAUCUACUAAGUUGCACAAUAGCCAUCUUGUAGUUGACAUCAGUGGUCAUCUUGAUCUAAAUAGAGUUUUCCCAGAAGUUGACAUGAAUUGGCAUGCUCUGCUUUUCAUUGUUGUAGAAUAUUUUUUUUGUCUUAGUCGGCAGGAGUUGAUGGAUGAGCUGCCUCAUCUUCCGCAACAGAUGCUGAGCGAUGAAGGAGUUGAGGUGGGUGUAGGGGAAGAUGUGGAGCAACCAUCACAAGCGGGCAGGAUAAGGGCAUCACCAAGGCGGUUUGUGAAGUUCAACAACUCGCUAUCCCCAUUACAGAAGUCUGAGUUAGUUUCAAGGUUGUUUGGGGGCCUCUUGAACUUAUCAGAGACACUUCCAAUGGAUCUCACUAAAUUCCUGGUCCAGUCCUACCAGCGAGAGAGCUCUGAAAUGGUGUUCCCAGGCAAGGGAAGGAUCCGUGUCGAUGCUGACAGUGUUCACAGGGUAUUCGAUCUCCCAAACAGGGGUCAAAAAGUCAGAUAUGUAGUUGACAAGGAUGCAACUAGGAGAUUGAAAGAGGCUUUCAACAUAACUGGAAAUUCUCAUCCCCAGAUCAGUACAUGGUGCAAUAUGAUUAAGGAUAUGGCGGGAAAAACGGAUGACACAUUCUUUAUGCCCUGGCUUGCGGUUGCAUUCAACACUUUUCUAGCACCAACCACGGCCCUGAAGCUGAGCCCAAUGUGCUACGGACUUGUGCUAGAUCAUGAAAUGCUCAAGAACACAAACAUCUGCCUCUUUGUAGCAGAACACAUAAACGAAGCUUUCCGGAACAUGGACCAGGAGAAGCAAACUGUUUGCAUCUACUUGUAUCACUUGAUCAAGAAGGACUCGAUCUCUCCUGGUGUGUUCAGCAAAUUACAAAAAAAGGCAAAGAUUGCCAAAGUGGUUAAUGACCUAUGCAAGGCAGUAAUUGAACAGGUGGGCACCUUCAUUGAAGCAGUUGCCAAGAUCGAUGAGGAGGAGCCGGAUAUUGAUCCCUACGUACAACAGCCAUCAACGAGAACCGGCAUGUCACGCUGUGUUCCAAAAAGAAAGAGACGGGUUUCACCUAUACAACAAGAAGAAGAGUUUGUUGAGGAGGAGUCAGAAGAAGGUGAUGAAAUGGAAGCAGCGCAAGAUGUUGAAGAUGAAGAUGACACAAAUGAGGAUGAAUCAGAGGAGGAGGACAAAGAGGAGGAUGACAAAGAAGAAGAUGAGGAGGAGGAGGAAGAAGAAGAGGAGAAAGAAGAUGAGGAGGACAAAGAAGAAGAGGAGAAAGGAGAGGAGGAGGACAAAGAAGAAGAUAAUGAGUCAGAGGAGGAGGAAGAAGAAGAGUGGGGCAAACAGGGUGAUGUAGACAAAGGCGCAGGAGUUUAUGGCAGUGAGGUGGAAGGAGAUGAUGAGGAAGAAGACAAGGAUGUUGAUCGUGAUGAUCAAGGGGGAUCCAAUGGAGACAGUGACCACAACGAUGACAAUGAUGACAAGGGCCCUGGUUCUGGGGCUUUUCCAACCACUUUCCCUGUCCCAGACUUUCAUCACCAAGAGAUGUGUCAGAACAUCCAUUUUUCCAUUGAUCAGAAGCUGUUCUUAUUAAGUGAGGCUGAAAAGAAUCAAGUUGACAUGGAGGAAGCAGGGAAGGGUCUUGAUUGGAUUCAUUCGAAGGCAAAAUACAAGGAAUAUUUGAAGAGCAUUCCAGAUGUAAGCUCUAGCAAGAGCAAGGCAGCUUCCGUGGCAAACCCGCAUGUGGUCCAGAAGCGCAAGGCAGUUUCAAUGAAGAAGAAUAUGAAGUUGCCUCAGACCAAGCAACAGGUGUUGAGGGCAGAUGCUGAAAUAAAUGUGGAGAAGGAAGCUGUGGUGCCAACUGUUGGGAAGACUCCUCUGUCAACACUCCCACCUAAACCAGCUAAGCAGCAAAAGAUUGUUAAGUUUGCCAAGGGCAGAAAGGGGGAACAUGGCACAAAAGGUGUGGAGUUCAGACGAGAGACAGAAGAACGUGUCACAACCAUCAAUGCAGGAGCGCCAAGUUCAGCCAGAUUGCUGCCAACCAAGGCUGGAAAGAUGCCAAGUGCAGAUACUACUGUACCAACUGAAGUGUCAAUUAGCAAUGGGGUCACAGUCAAAACUACCAAUGUUAUUCAGGAAGCCACUAGUGCAACUGCAAGCCCCAAGGUGCCAACUAAUAGAGAUACUUCAAUGCCAAACACGGAAGGAGGUGAUCAAUCUGCCAAAUUGCCGUCUCCAAGAGCUAACACACAGUAG
rnacentral:rRNA from 1 species